rnacentral:rRNA from 1 species
AGCAGCCGCGGUAAUUCCAGCUCCAAUAGCGUAUAUUAAAGUUGUUGCAGUUAAAAAGACUCGUAGUUGAAUUUCGGGGUUAGUACGCUGGUCGUGCCUUUGGUAUGUACUGGUGUUACUGGUUCCUACCUUCUGACGAACCGUCAUGUCAUUAAUUUGGUGUGGCGGGGAAUCAGGACUGUUACUUUGAAAAAUUAGAGUGUUUAAAGCAGGCUCGCGCUUGAAUACAUUAGCAUGGAAUAAUGAAAUAGGACGUUCGAUCCUAUUUUGUUGGUUUCUAGGAUUGACGUAAUGAUUAAUAGGGAUAGUUGGGGGCAUUAGUAUUCAAUUGUCAGAGGUGAAAUUCUUGGAUUUAUUGAAGACUAACUACUGCGAAAGCAUUUGCCAAGGAUGUUUUCAUUAAUCAAGAACGAAAGUUAGGGGAUCGAAGACGAUCAGAUACCGUCGUAG